rfam:Burkholderia sp. TSV85 TSV85_39, whole genome shotgun sequence.
CGUCUCCUCCAUGUCUCCUCCUGAUAUGGAUUAAGCCCGUUCAAAUGCGAACGGGCUUUUUUUC